CCUUGGUAUUUUCUAGAGCGCUAUCAGAGCACACGGAGGCUUUCUCACACCUGAGCAGUGACUUCAGAGUGCAGUAUUACUGCAAGGAGAUUCAGAGACGGACAUCCAGCACAGCCGACCGGAAAAGGAGGGCCAGUACUUCAGCGAGGAGGAGAUGCGUGUGUGAGAGCCUCUGCUGUAUGAGCAGUACAUCCGACAGUACCUCAGCGAAGAGAUCCUGCAGCGCUCAGAGGAGGCCAUGAGGAGCGGCCCGGGGGGACUCGCUGACCUGCUUAUCAACUCCUACCAGGAGAAACUGAUCCAGAACCACCUGGAGGAGGAGCAGGAGAGAGAGCACUGUGCAGCGGAGGAGUCUGAGGUGUGAGAUCUCACUGACUGACUCGUGACUGAGAUUCCAUUUCUUUAAUGGAUGAAUGUGUUUUAGAAUGUGAUGAGCCCAGACAGACAGACAGACAGACAGAGUGGGAGCCGAAUGCAGAAGAGAAAGCCAUGCUGAGAGAGGAGUUUCUCAGUCCAAUGCAUCAGCGCUUCCUGGAUGGCAAGGAUGACUUCAACUACAGUGAAGUGGAUGAGAAUCCAGAUUAUGAUAACCUGAAUAUUUUAAGCUGUGAUGCAGAGGAGCGCUACUUUGAUGAAGAAGUGGAAAAAGAAGAGGAUAUGAUGCAGUAGCCCUUAAUGUAUAUAAUGUUCUCACAGCAGAAUUUUUUUUAAAUUUGUUGUACAGUCUUUGUCAUAUAUCUACUGCUUGAUAUUGUUUGUGUAGGUUAAAUGUGAUCAUCAGCACCUUGUUGUCUUUAAUAAGAGUACUAUUGUUCAAGAUGUUGUUGUGGUCAUGUUUGAAGAAUUCUUAUUUAAAAAAAAUAAAAAUCAAGACACAGUUGCAGGUCAGACCUUAGAAGUCUUAAGCAUUUUCAGUUUAAAAGCUUUUGCUGUUAAAGGUGUAUAAAAUUCAUGCUGUAUGUAGGACUCAUAGUUUCUCAUAAUGGUUAAUAAAACAAAUGUGCAGCUG